rnacentral:rRNA from 1 species
CGGCGGACGGGUGAGUAACACGUGGAUAACCUACCUAUAAGACUGGGAUAACUUGGGAAACCGGAGCUAAUACCGGAUAAUAUAUUGAACCGCAUGGUUCAAUAGUGAAAGACGGUUUUGCUGUCACUUAUAGAUGGAUCCGCGUCGCAUUAGCUAGUUGGUAAGGUAACGGCUUACCAAGGCAACGAUGCGUAGCCGACCUGAGAGGGUGAUCGGCCACACUGGAACUGAGACACGGUCCAG